rnacentral:rRNA from 1 species
ACCUGGUUGAUCCUGCCAGUAGUCAUAUGCUUGUCUCAAAGACUAAGCCAUGCAUGUCUAAGUAUAAAUGAUAUACAGUAAAACUGCGAAUGGCUCAUUAAAACAGUUAUAGUUUAUUUGGUAAUCAAAAUUACAUGGAUAACCGUGGUAAUUCUAGAGCUAAUACAUGCAGUCAAACCCGACUUUUUGGAAGGGUUGUAUUUAUUAGAUAUCUGACCAAUAUUCCUUGUGUCUAUUGUGGUGAAUCAUAGUAACUGAUCGGAUCGCAUGGGCUUGUCCCGCGACAAACCAUUCAAGUUUCUGCCCCAUCAGCUUUCGAUGGUAGUGUAUUGGACUACCAUGGCUUUUACGGGUAACGGAGGAUUAGGGUUCGAUUCCGGAGAGGGAGCCUGAGAAACGGCUACCACAUCUAAGGAAGGCAGCAGGCGCGUAAAUUACCCAAUACUGAUUCAGUGAGGUAGUGACAAGAAAUAGCGGGUCGGGAUUUUUUCCCGGGACUGAAAUGAGACGAAUUUACACCCCUUAUCGAGGAUCCAUUGGAGGGCAAGUCUGGUGCCAGCAGCCGCGGUAAUUCCAGCUCCAAUAGCGUAUAUUAAAGUUGUUGCAGUUAAAAAGCUCGUAGUUGGAUUUCUGGACGGGGGGCUCUACUCGCAUCGUGCGAGGCCAGAGUCGCUCGGCCAUCCUUCUGUUAACCCGUCUCGGUAUUCACUUAUCGGGCGGGGGCUCAGAUAGAUUACCUAGAGAAAAUUAGAGUGUUUCUGCAUGCUUGCGCCCGAUACAUUAGCAUGGAUAUAGAAUAG